GACGAACGCUGGCGGCGUGCUUAACACAUGCAAGUCGAACGGUAAGGCCCUUCGGGGUACACGAGUGGCGAACGGGUGAGUAACACGUGGGUGAUCUGCCCUGCACUUCGGGAUAAGCCUGGGAAACUGGGUCUAAUACCGGAUAGGACCACUGCCUGCAUGGGUGGUGGGGGAAAGCUUUUGCGGUGUGGGAUGGGCCCACGGCCUAUCAGGUUGUUGGUGGGGUGAUGGCCUACCAAGGCGACGACGGGUAGCCGGCCUGGGAGGGUGACCGGCCACACUGGGACUGAGAUACGGCCCAGACUCCUACGGGAGGCAGCAGUGGGGAAUAUUGCACAAUGGGCGCAAGCCUGAUGCAGCGACGCCGCGUGAGGGAUGACGGCCUUCGGGUUGUAAACCUCUUUCAGCACCGACGAAGCGCAAGUGACGGUAGGUGCAGAAGAAGGACCGGCCAACUACGUGCCAGCCGCCGCGGUAA
rnacentral:rRNA from 1 species